AUUGAACGCUGGCGGCAUGCCUUACACAUGCAAGUCGAACGGCAGCACGGGGGCAACCCUGGUGGCGAGUGGCGAACGGGUGAGUAAUGCAUCGGAACGUGCCCAGUAGUGGGGAAUAACCCGGCGAAAGCCGGGCUAAUACCGCAUACGACCUACGGGUGAAAGCGGGGGACCGUAAGGCCUCGCGCUAUUGGAGCGGCCGAUGUCUGAUUAGCUAGUUGGUGGGGUAACGGCCCACCAAGGCGACGAUCAGUAGCUGGUCUGAGAGGACGACCAGCCACACUGGGACUGAGACACGGCCCAGACUCCUACGGGAGGCAGCAGUGGGGAAUUUUGGACAAUGGGCGCAAGCCUGAUCCAGCCAUGCCGCGUGCGGGAAGAAGGCCUUCGGGUUGUAAACCGCUUUUGGCAGGAACGGAACGGCGCAAGCUAAUACCUUGCGCUAAUGACGGUACCUGCAGAAUAAGCACCGGCUAACUACGUGCCAGCCGCCGCGGUAAAAC
rnacentral:rRNA from 1 species